rnacentral:misc_RNA from 1 species
GCCCAGCAAAACCUUUUGACAGACAACCUUCAACGGCACAUGGAGAUUUGGAACCUAUUGUAGUAUUAUGUCGAACCAUUUCUAUGUUCUCAUCUGCAGUACAUGAUGGUAAGUUUAUCUCCAAGUUCACUGGCCUGCAAGCCAUAAAUCUACUUUUCUUGACGCUAAUAACAGGACUUAACUCCAUGGAGCCGGUUCUUG